rnacentral:lncRNA from 1 species
UUGGGUGUCUAACCCCAUGUCUUGUGUCUUCGCUAGAGUCAGGGAUCCUAAUCCGAUAUACACAACUCCAAAGGAGCUGCAUAAGUGGAUUACCAUCAUGCUUGAUGCAUACUGACUUCCUAAAGAAGAAACUGAUAUUGAGGAAGCCAAGGAGAUGAAUUUACCGAUGAUUAUUCAAACACUGGAAGUCUAAUCGUUUUCUCAUUGAAGUUCCCAAGAUUGGAAGGCACAAUUGAGGCUCCCACCAGCUGACACUCGAUAUAGAUUGAUUGG